UACGGAGGGAGCUAGCGUUGUUCGGAAUUACUGGGCGUAAAGCGCACGUAGGCGGCGAUUUAAGUCAGAGGUGAAAGCCCGGGGCUCAACCCCGGAAUAGCCUUUGAGACUGGAUUGCUUGAAUCUUGGAGAGGUGAGUGGAAUUCCGAGUGUAGAGGUGAAAUUCGUAGAUAUUCGGAAGAACACCAGUGGCGAAGGCGGCCAUCUGGGACAACACUGACGCUGAGGCACGAAAGCGUGGGGAGCAAACAGG
rnacentral:rRNA from 1 species